UACGAAGGGGGCUAGCGUUGCUCGGAAUCACUGGGCGUAAAGCGCACGUAGGCGGCUUUGUAAGUUAGAGGUGAAAGCCCGGAGCUCAACUCCGGAAACUGCCUUUAAGACUGCAUCGCUUGAAUCCAGGAGAGGUGAGUGGAAUUCCGAGUGUAGAGGUGAAAUUCGUAGAUAUUCGGAAGAACACCAGUGGCGAAGGCGGCUCAC
rnacentral:rRNA from 1 species